UACGUAGGUGGCAAGCGUUGUCCGGAUUUAUUGGGCUUAAAGGGUGCGUAGGCGGUUCCUUAAGUCAGUUGUGAAAUACGGCAGCUUAACUGUCGAGGUGCAAUUGAUACUGGGGAACUAGAGUACUGAUGAGGUAUGCGGAAUGGACGGUGUAGCGGUGAAAUGCUUAGAUAUCGUCCAGAACACCGAUAGCGAAGGCAGCAUACUAAGGAGUAACUGACGCUGAGGCACGAAAGUGUGGGGAUCAAACAGG
rnacentral:rRNA from 1 species